rnacentral:tRNA from 1 species
GCUAGUAGUUGACGUAAGAACAUAAGAUGUUUCUGUGGUGUAGUGGUUAUCACGUUUGCUUUACACGCAAAAGGUCUCCGGUUCGAUCCCGGGCAGGAACAU